AUGCUGUCAGUUCAAAUCAUCAUCUUGGAGGCUGAGAAGAGUCUAGAUCAGUACUCAGCCUCCUCCCAUCCUCAGCAGUGGUUGCUCAGUGCAGCCCAUGUGCUCCUUCUCACCCACUGGAUGUUUCUCUGGCAGUUCAGAUGUUCCAGGCUGCUGCUGUGUCCCCAAACAUGGCCUUGUUUACAUUCUUUCCCCAGUCUCAUAGAGGAGGGACUCUUUUUUCCUUAUUUUAGGCAGCUCCAAAGAUGCCCACAGACUCGGCCUCCUGCAGCUGUGCACAGUGCUGGCUCCCCACCAAUGCUCUGUCUCGACGAAGAACCUACUUGAAAGUGCAAGGAAGGAGGUGCUACUUCUAGAGGGUCUCCUGAGUCCUGCUGUACACGAAGAGCUGAAUCGAUCCCUGACAGCGCCACAGUCUUCUCUCUUUGGACUUGACCAUCGCUGAUCCUCGAUUGGGUAGCAAUGACACAAGAGCCGCGAUUUAAUGUCUUAAAAAUGCCUGGUUCUACAUACCUUUCACUUCCAAGUGACAGAGUAAGGCCUUGCUCUGCAUUCCUCUCAGGAGUUUUCUGGCCUCUAGUUUUCUCAUCUUAAAAAUGAGCGAAGAGGGCGAAAUGAACAAAUUUUCCCCCUUCAUUUCAACACGGGUGAGAUAUGCAGCAACAAAGGGAAUGAUUUUUAAACUGGGAUCAGCAAGGUAGAAAAUGAAAAGUUAUCAGAAUCUCCUGGGAUAGGGGGAAGAAGAGUUUUCUCAGGCUCUAAAUGUAAUUUCCAACCUAUAAGAUUUCUAAUCUUCAUUUUAAAUAUGAAACGACAAGCAUCACCACACCCCUACCCUAUCUUUCCUGUUUAUUCCCCAGUAAGGUUAGGGCCACAUCUCUUUCAGGAUUACAUUAGUCAUUUUUACUGACAAGCUGCUGGUCUCUGAGCUUGCUCACAGAAUCUGAGUUCAUAGAAACUUCUCCAGUUGCCAAUUUUCAGCAGUAAUUGGCAUUUAUGCUUUGAUAAAAAAAUUUUAUAUACAUAUCAAAUCAUACAUUUGUCAAGAAUAGCUCCCCCACAAGUGACCUUUCUUUUGGUUUAAUGAACGCUCCUUGUUGCUUAAGUUUAUGUGAUUUAACUGGAGAAUUUUAGAGUUGAAGGGUUCAACUUAGCAAAUAUUCUAUAUGAAUGAUGAAAAACAGACAUCCCAGGUAGAUUUUUUAAAAAAAUGAAAUUCACAUAUUUUGUUACUUGUAUGACAUCAUAUAAGGGAUAGUUUCCACACUAUGGCAACUUGUUCAUCAAUUACAAACACAGGGUGGGACAAGACUAUAGGACCCUCUGCGUUCUUCCAACCUGGUCUUAACUGCCCAAACCACUAGCACGACCCCUCAUUUUUCUUCAAAUCAAACUAGGGGACUGUGCUCUCUUAAUUCUUUGCAAGCCUACCUGAAAAAGAGAAAAAUACAAGAACUGCUGUGAAAACAUUUAGCAGCAAGGGAGGAAAAUGGGGGCGGGGUUGGAACUUAUCUAAGGAAAACACUGGGGCGAUCCUGGAGUCCUAUCCCUGCAGGACUGGGUGGAUGCCAAGUUCUGCAUUUCUCCAAAAUGAUCCCAGCAGCUGCAGCAUGUUAUAUGUGGCAACUCUUCUAGGAUCUCAAAGGGUUUUCAGAGUCGCGCUGGCAGCUGCCUCCUGUCGCCUCACUCUAUAAUGAUUGAACCGCUUGUUCCUUUUAUAGAGUUGUUCUCUCCUAAUAAAACACUAAAUGCUGGUCUGAGCAACUGUUCCAGGAUCACUAGAUGCAAUCUUUCCUCCCUCUUGCUCCUCACCCCUCAUGUCUGAUAUUUUCUAUCACAAUGGGCCCCUGUCUAAAUGGCCGUCACUGAUACACGGCCAGAGCACGCAUACAGGCUUCAAAGUGUGCACACACAAGUUCCACCGAGCUCCUUUUAACCAAACCUGAACUCCACAUCCAUUUCCAGCUAUUUUAAGAGCUGCUACUUUAAAACUGGGCAACAGUCCUAAACACAUGAAAGCAUACACGAAGCACAAACUGCCAUAAAUGAAGAACCGCAAUUCAUUGUGUCAGGAGUCUGCAGAGGUGAUACCUUCAAGCUGUUCGUCAGAAUAAAAAGCCGUGACUUGUCAGCUUUUGGAUGGGAAGCAAUGCAAAACAAGCCAUCUUUUCCUGGCAAAUAUGAACCACAUUUGUAAGGUGUGAACUCUUUUCAUACUUCAAAAUGCAGAUGGAAACAAUGCCAUACCAAUGCAGGAAUAGGCUCAAAAAGGAUUCCUAGCUCAUCUCCAACUUCAGCAUCCUUCUCCAAGUCAUAAUCUGGGAGCUACAGCAAGAAAGCCAAUGUCCUUUCCCAUAUCAAGUACCAGUGACAUUGAAAAAUGAUCCUUAUUUUUAAGAGUUCAUGCUCAGUUUAUGCCCAAUCUAUCUUUUUAUAAUUCUAUUUCAGACUGUAAGCUUCUCAAGCCUGGGUUACUCAUUUUUUUUUUUUUUUUUUUUUUUUUUAUCUGGCGGUUAGUAAAGUGCCUGGUAGGCCAGUAGUUGCUGGUUAAAUGUUUGCUGAAUAAAUAAAUGGAACCCUAUAAACAAAAUGGACUUGGCUUGUGGGUUCUUAGCUAAAACAGGCAAACUAAAAAAAAGUCCCUUUACAUUCAUUCCUCAGAUUUUGAAGGCUUUUUGCUGAGAUUUUAGUGAGGAAUCCAGCCCUCUUGAAAAAACUGUGUUUUCAGAAACUGCCAUUUGACUAUAAAGGAAAAACACAAAAAGAAGCUUCAGGCUCUAAUGAAUCAGGAACACCAAAAUUCUC
ensembl:lincRNA